CAAGAGCGUAUGUAAAAGUUGUUGCAGUUAAAAAGCUCGUAGUUGAACCUUGGGUUUGGUUGGCCGGUCCGCUUUUUUGCGAGUACUGGAUUCAACCGAGCCUUUCCUUCUGGCUAACCAGUCGUUUCGGCGGCUGGCGAACCAGGAUUUUUACUUUGAGAAAAUUAGAGUGUUCAAAGCAGGCAUUAGCUUGAAUAUAUUAGCAUGGAAUAAUAGAAUAGGACGUUAUGGUUCUAUUUUGUUGGUUUCUAGGACCAUCGUAAUGAUUAAUAGGGACGGUCGGGGGCAUCAGUAUUCAGUUGCCAGAGGUGAAAUUCUUGGAUUUACUGAAGACUAACUACUGCGAAAGCAUUUGCCAAGGACGUUUUCAUUAA
rnacentral:rRNA from 1 species